rnacentral:rRNA from 1 species
UGCCCUUUGGUAUUUAUUUAAAGGUUGUUUCUGCUCGGUGGUUUUUAACAGCCGCGGUAAUUUGACCGUGCAAAGGUAGCAUAAUCAUUUGCCUUGUAAUUGAGGGCUAGUAUGAAUGAAUUAACAAGGGUCCUGCUUUAUUGGGGAAAGUUGAUGAAGUUUCUUUCUUAGUGAAGAAGCUAAGAUGCAGAAAGGGGACAAGAAGACCCUUUCGAGCUUUACUGAUAGUUUAGUCUUUUUGAUUGAUUUCAGUUUGGUUGGGGCGACCGAGGAAUAAGAUCUUCCUUUUCUAAUUUUGAUCCACAGUUUGUGAUUAAAAGAACAAGUUACCGAAGGGAUAACAGCGUAAUCCUCUUUAAGAGCUCUUAUUAAAAAGAGGGAUUGCGACCUCGAUGUUGACUUAUAGUUACCUUUCGGUGCAGUCGCUGUUAGGGUGGGUCUGUUCGACCUUUAAA